CAUUAUAAAGAAAACAUUGAAUUAGGAAAUGCCGUCUGAUGCGACAUCUGACGAUGUAAAGUUUCAGAGU